GAGUGAACGCUGGCGGCAGGCCUAACACAUGCAAGUCGAACGGCAGCACAGUCGUAGCAAUACGAUGGGUGGCGAGUGGCGGACGGGUGAGGAAUACAUCGGAAUCUACCUUGUCGUGGGGGAUAACGUAGGGAAACUUACGCUAAUACCGCAUACGAACUAUGGUUGAAAGCGGCGGACCGCAAGGCGUCGCGCGAUUGGAUGAGCCGAUGUCCGAUUAGCAGUUGGCGGGGUAAAGGCCCACCAAGCGACGAUCGGUAGCUGGUCUGAGAGGAUGAUCAGCCACACUGGAACUGAGACACGGUCCAGACUCCUGCGGGAGGCAGCAGUGGGGAAUAUUGGACAAUGGGCGCAAGCCUGAUCCAGCCAUGCGCGUGAGUGAAGAAGGCCUUAGGGUUGUAAAGCU
rnacentral:rRNA from 1 species